rnacentral:rRNA from 1 species
UCUACAGGCUUAACACAUGCAAGUCGAGGGGCAGCAUGGUCUUAGCUUGCUAAGGCCGAUGGCGACCGGCGCACGGGUGAGUAACACGUAUCCAACCUGCCGUCUACUCUUGGACAGCCUUCUGAAAGGAAGAUUAAUACAAGAUGGCAUCAUGAGUCCGCAUGUUCACAUGAUUAAAGGUAUUCCGGUAGACGAUGGGGAUGCGUUCCAUUAGAUAGUAGGCGGGGUAACGGCCCACCUAGCCUUCGAUGGAUAGGGGUUCUGAGAGGAAGGUCCCCCACAUUGGAACUGAGACACGGUCCAAACUCCUACGGGAGGCAGCAGUGAGGAAUAUUGGUCAAUGGGCGAGAGCCUGAACCAGCCAAGUAGCGUGAAGGAUGACUGCCCUAUGGGUUGUAAACUUCUUUUAUAAAGGAAUAAAGUCGGGUAUGGAUACCCGUUUGCAUGUACUUUAUGAAUAAGGAUCGGCUAACUCCGUGCCAGCAGCCGCGGUAAUACGGAGGAUCCGAGCGUUAUCCGGAUUUAUUGGGUUUAAAGGGAGCGUAGAUGGAUGUUUAAGUCAGUUGUGAAAGUUUGCGGCUCAACCGUAAAAUUGCAGUUGAUACUGGAUAUCUUGAGUGCAGUUGAGGCAGGCGGAAUUCGUGGUGUAGCGGUGAAAUGCUUAGAUAUCACGAAGAACUCCGAUUGCGAAGGCAGCCUGCUAAGCUGCAACUGACAUUGAGGCUCGAAAGUGUGGGUAUCAAACAGGAUUAGAUACCCUGGUAGUCCACACGGUAAACGAUGAAUACUCGCUGUUUGCGAUAUACUGCAAGCGGCCAAGCGAAAGCGUUAAGUAUUCCACCUGGGGAGUACGCCGGCAACGGUGAAACUCAAAGGAAUUGACGGGGGCCCGCACAAGCGGAGGAACAUGUGGUUUAAUUCGAUGAUACGCGAGGAACCUUACCCGGGCUUAAAUUGCAGAUGAAUUACGGUGAAAGCCGUAAGCCGCAAGGCAUCUGUGAAGGUGCUGCAUGGUUGUCGUCAGCUCGUGCCGUGAGGUGUCGGCUUAAGUGCCAUAACGAGCGCAACCCUUGUUGUCAGUUACUAACAGGUUCCGCUGAGGACUCUGACAAGACUGCCAUCGUAAGAUGUGAGGAAGGUGGGGAUGACGUCAAAUCAGCACGGCCCUUACGUCCGGGGCUACACACGUGUUACAAUGGGGGGUACAGAGGGCCGCUACCACGCGAGUGGAUGCCAAUCCCCAAAACCUCUCUCAGUUCGGACUGGAGUCUGCAACCCGACUCCACGAAGCUGGAUUCGCUAGUAAUCGCGCAUCAGCCACGGCGCGGUGAAUACGUUCCCGGGCCUUGUACACACCGCCCGUCAAGCCAUGGGAGCCGGGGGUACCUGAAGUGCGUAACCGCGAGGAGCGCCCUAGGGUAAAACUGGUGACUGGGGC